rnacentral:rRNA from 1 species
ACGGAAGGCAGCAGUGGGGAAUAUUGGGCAAUGGGCGAAAGCCUGACCCAGCAACGCCGCGUGAAGGAAGAAGGUCUUCGGAUUGUAAACUUCUUUUAUGAGGGACGAAGGACGUGACGGUACCUCAUGAAUAAGCCACGGCUAACUACGUGCCAGCAGCCGCGGUAAUACGUAGGUGGCAAGCGUUAUCCGGAUUUACUGGGUGUAAAGGGCGCGUAGGCGGGGAGACAAGUCAGGUGUGAAAUCUAUGGGCUUAACCCAUAAACUGCAUUUGAAACUGUAUCUCUUGAGUGCUGGAGAGGUAGAUGGAAUUCCUAGUGUAGCGGUGAAAUGCGUAGAUAUUAGGAGGAACACCAGUGGCGAAGGCGAUCUACUGGACGAUAACUGACGCUGAGGCGCGAAAGCGUGGGGAGCAAACAGGAUUAGAUACCCUGGUA